GACGAACGCUGGCGGCGUGCUUAACACAUGCAAGUCGAGCGAUGAAGCACCUUCGGGUGUGGAUUAGCGGCGAACGGGUGAGGAACACGUGAGGAAUCUGCCUUCCACUCUGGGAUAACUCCGGGAAACCGGGGCUAAUACCGGAUAUUUUCAACUGGCGGCAUCGCCGGUUGAAGAAAGUUUUUCGGUGGAAGAUGAACUCGCGGCCUAUCAGCUUGUUGGUGAGGUAAAGGCUCACCAAGGCGACGACGGGUAGCCGGCCUGAGAGGGUGACCGGCCACACUGGGACUGAGACACGGCCCAGACUCCUACGGGAGGCAGCAGUGGGGAAUAUUGGGCAAUGGAGGAAACUCUGACCCAGCGACGCCGCGUGAGGGAUGAAGGCCUUCGGGUUGUAAACCUCUUUCAGCAGGGAAUAAGCGAAAGUGAAGGUACCUGCAGAAGAAGCACCGGCUAACUAUGUGCCAGCCGCCGCGGUAA
rnacentral:rRNA from 1 species